UAAUUUUAAAGAGUUCCUUCCAUGAAUGC
rnacentral:piRNA from 1 species